rnacentral:rRNA from 1 species
AGUGAACGCUGGCGGUAGGCCUAACACAUGCAAGUCGAACGGCAGCACAGUAAGAGCUUGCUCUUACGGGUGGCGAGUGGCGGACGGGUGAGGAAUACAUCGGAAUCUACUUUUUCGUGGGGGAUAACGUAGGGAAACUUACGCUAAUACCGCAUACGACCUACGGGUGAAAGCAGGGGAUCUUCGGACCUUGCGCGAUUGAAUGAGCCGAUGUCGGAUUAGCUAGUUGGCGGGGUAAAGGCCCACCAAGGCGACGAUCCGUAGCUGGUCUGAGAGGAUGAUCAGCCACACUGGAACUGAGACACGGUCCAGACUCCUAAGGGAGGCAGCAGUGGGGAAUAUUGGACAAUGGGCGGAAGCCUGAUCCAGCCAUACCGCGUGGGUGAAGAAGGCCUUCGGGUUGUAAAGCCCUUUUGUUGGGAAAGAAAAGCAGCAGGUUAAUACCCCGCUGUUCUGACGGUACCCAAAGAAUAAGCACCGGCUAACUUCGUG